UGCAUGACCCCCUUAAAUCUCCCCCCUAAACCCCUUGUUGCCCACGUUCAUCGUGAACAAACAGCUGAAGACAGAAAGCUAUAGUCAAAGCCAAUAUUUCUUCUACUUUUUCCUGUAAAAACUUUCCAAAAAGCUUGGGGUUCGAUCGGCACAGAUGGUGGCGAUGAUGAUGCGUCAGGGUGGGACCCGGCUUUCCGGUUCCAUGAUGACCAUGUUGGGAGCACGCCUCUUCUCUCAUUCCGCUGCCGGUACUACUAGCACCGCCGGCCGUGGCUUCGCAUCGGGUGGAAACUCGUCGCUGGUCGGUUUCUUGCGCGGGAGUAUUCCGGCCAAUGAUGCUGGCGUGAAUUGGAUUGUGGGGGUGCGGAGCUGCAGCACGGUAGCGCAGCAGGAGGUGCAGAAUAGUGGUGCGAGUCAUGCUUCGAGUGCCGCUCAGGCAGCUGACAGUAAUAAGGAAGAGAAGGAGAUUGUGAGUUACUGGGGCGUGCCGCCGGUGAAGGUUGUGAACAAGGACGGCACCGUAUGGAAGUGGGACUGCUUUAGGCCAUGGGAGACUUACCAAGCGGACCUGUCGAUUGAUCUGAAGAAGCACCACGUGCCUUUAAACUUAUUGGACAAAUUGGCUUAUUGGAUGGUCAAAGCCCUCAGGAUGCCCGCUGACCUGUUCUUUCAGAGGCGAUAUGGAUGCCGGGCAAUGAUGCUAGAAACUGUGGCAGCUGUUCCCGGCAUGGUUGGAGGCAUGCUGCUGCAUUGCAAGUCACUGAGGCGAUUCGAGCAGAGUGGUGGUUGGAUCAAAGCACUGCUGGAAGAAGCCGAGAAUGAACGCAUGCACCUCAUGACAUUUAUGGAGGUAACCAAGCCUAGGUGGUACGAUCGUGCACUGGUGAUUUCUGUUCAAGCUGUCUUCUUCAAUGCUUACUUCUUAGGCUAUAUGAUAUCUCCCAAAUUUGCUCACCGAGUGGUCGGUUACCUGGAAGAGGAGGCAAUACACUCGUACACUGAGUUCCUCAACGAACUGGACAAAGGUAACAUCAAGAACAUGCCGGCUCCGGCCAUUGCCAUCGAUUACUGGCAGCUUCCUCCCGACGCCACCUUACGUGAUGUUGUUAUGGUGGUAAGAGCAGAUGAGGCACACCACCGCGAUGUCAAUCACUUCGCAUCCGACGUGCAUUUUCAUGGACGCCAGUUGAAGGAUGUUUCUGCUCCACUUGGAUAUCACUAAUUAUUCCUAUAAUUUUGGCUGCCUGGUGUACGUGAGAAAGUCACUCUCACAAGUUUUAAUCUCUUGAUUGAAUAAGUUUGUUUUGAAGAAGGCAGCAAACGGUGGAACCCACUACCCAAGAAAAACAGUUGCUGCCCUUGAGAGUAAUCCACCACCAAAUCUUACAGGUUGCCGGUUAGAAAACUUGGUGUCAACAGACAGAUGAAAGAUGGAGGUAUUAUUGCCCUUUUUUGCAAAUCCGGGGAAAGAAAAUUUCAAGAUCAGGAGGGAUGGAACUCGGAAGCACUGGGAUGAGCUGCGGAUAUGGACAUCAUUCACUUUAGUUGGACCAAAAAAGAGCUAUUUUGAUAGGAACAGCAGACUCGGCUUCCCUUUCUGUCAGCAAUGGCCACCGAAGCAUACAUAUUAGAAUAAUGUAGAAGCAUUCGGAUGCAAAACAAGAAGGUUAUAUGUGGUCGGACUAUAGAUUUAACUAACCUAGCCGCGCAGUCGAAGGAGGGAGCUCCCCCUGCCUCACAAAAAUACCAAAAAUAAAUAAAGCUCAAGCCACACCAGGCAUCCAUACUCAUCCAGUCAUCCUAUAACAUGUCAUAGCAUUUAAACUAUUUACAGAAGAAUAGUUCCUAUUCGGACCAAACGGGCUGGUCUUAGGGGAUAAACACCCUCCAAUCACAGCAAAACACCUAGACUAUUUCAUAAAAAGUAAAAUACACAUUUUUCCAUCUAAUUACACUUCUUGCCUUUCACUUUCCCUCAUAUUUCACUUUUCAGAUUUCACUCGUCGUGCACAUUUGCCUCUAAUACCCGUGUAGUGAACUUCUCCUCCAUCGCCGUGAGCCAUCACUUUCCUCCAUCGCCAUUCGUUUCAGAGCUGUUGCCGCCGCCUAGCUCAGAGCCAUAACUUUCCUCCAUGCCGCCCCCCCGGACAAUAAUUUGCUUCAUCACCAUGAGCCAUCCAAAAAGAGGAUGGGGCUGCAUGAUCUCUCAUGAGAUCCUAGGAAGCCUGUGAUUGGGAGAGUGGAAAGGAAACACAAAAACUGCAAGCUUCUCUCAUUGCUUACAUAGUUUGUUUUUUACAAGUAUCUCGUUGCUUACACAACUAUUUAGAAUUUUAGAAAACCUACCACCCCAUGGUACAUGAUAAUUUCUAAUCUAUCAUUGAUUCAAUUUGGUCAAAAUCAAGGAUAUAUUGUUCUUUUUUUUUUGCUUCGAAAACCCAUGUAUUCAGUUGACAAGAUAGUUGUGGAA